AUACGUAGGGGGCGAGCGUUGUCCGGAAUGAUUGGGCGUAAAGGGCGCGUAGGCGGCUUUGCAAGUCAGUAGUGGAAGUCCAUUUUUCAAGGAUGGAAGUGCUACAGAAACUGCGGAGCUUGAGUGCAGGAGAGGUUAUCGGAAUUCCCGGUGUAGCGGUGCAAGGCGUAGAGAUCAGGAGGAACACCAGUGGCGAAGGCGGGUAACUGGACUGCAACUGACGCUGAGGCGCGAAAGUGUGGGGAGCAAACAGGAUUAGAUACCCUGGUAGUCCACACUGUAAACGAUGAAUGCUAGGUGUAGGAGGUAUCGACCCCUUCUGUGCCGCAGUAAACACAGUAAGCAUUCCGCCUGGGGAGUACGGUCGCAAGAUUAAAACUCAAAGGAAUUGGCGGGG
rnacentral:rRNA from 1 species